rnacentral:rRNA from 1 species
AAAGCGAAUGGUGAAACCUGAAGGCUCAACCUUCAGACUAUUAUUCGAACUCACUAACUCGAGAGUAAGAGAGGUACCUGGAAUUUCUUGUGUAGGAGUGAAAUCCGUAGAUAUAAGAAGGAACACCAAUGGCGUAAGCAGGGUACUGGCUUAUUUCUGACGCUAAGGCACGAAAGCGUGGGGAGCGAACGGGAUUAGAUACCCCGGUAGUCCACGCCGUAAACGAUGGAUGCUA